GGCCGGUAGCUCAGUUGGUAGAGCAUCCGUCUAGUAUAGGAACGUCCUAGGUUCGACUCGAUCAACGACGCCGGCCG